rnacentral:snoRNA from 1 species
CCUUGCAUCUUUUGCGACAGACUAUGUUUAUCUAUUAAGCAAAUAGUCUUACUAAUGAUGCUAUAGUAAAUAUCUCUAUCCGUAUCGGACCACUAAUAAAUAGAUGGUUUGAUUUAUUUGAGAUGAAAUCU